CACGUAGGCGGAUUGCUAAGUCAGGGGUGAAAUCCUGGAGCUCAACUCCAGAACUGCCUUUGAUACUGGCGAUCUCGAGUCCGGGAGAGGUGAGUGGAACUGCGAGUGUAGAGGUGAAAUUCGUAGAUAUUCGCAAGAACACCAGUGGCGAAGGCGGCUCACUGGCCCGGUACUGACGCUGAGGUGCGAAAGCGUGGGGAGCAACA
rnacentral:rRNA from 1 species